rnacentral:rRNA from 1 species
GACGAACGCUGGCGGCGUGCUUAACACAUGCAAGUCGAACGGUGAAGCCCUUCGGGGUGGAUCAGUGGCGAACGGGUGAGUAACACGUGAGCAACCUGCCCCUGGCUCUGGGACAACCACUGGAAACGGUGGCUAAUACCGGAUACGACCCGCCUCGGCAUCGAGUGUGGGUGGAAAGUUUUUCGGCUGGGGAUGGGCUCGCGGCCUAUCAGCUUGUUGGUGAGGUGAAGGCUCACCGAGGCGACGACGGGUAGCCGGCCUGAGAGGGCGACCGGCCACACUGGGACUGAGACACGGCCCAGACUCCUACGGGAGGCAGCAGUGGGGAAUAUUGCACAAUGGGCGAAAGCCUGAUGCAGCGACGCCGCGUGAGGGAUGACGGCCUUCGGGUUGUAAACCUCUUUCAGCUCCGAAGAAGCGAAAGUGACGGUAGGAGCAGAAGAAGCACCGGCUAACUACGUG